GGGGGCGUAGCUCACUUGGGAGAGCGCUUGAAUGGCAUUCAAGAGGUAGAGGGUUCGAUCCCCUUCGUCUCCACCA
rnacentral:tRNA from 1 species